rnacentral:rRNA from 1 species
AGAGUUUGAUCCUGGCUCAGGAUGAACGCUAGCUACAGGCUUAACACAUGCAAGUCGAGGGGAAACGACAUCGAAAGCUUGCUUUUGAUGGGCGUCGACCGGCGCACGGGUGAGUAACGCGUAUCCAACCUGCCCACCACUUGGGGAUAACCUUGCGAAAGUAAGACUAAUACCCAAUGACGUCUCUAGAAGACAUCUGAAAGAGAUUAAAGAUUUAUCGGUGAUGGAUGGGGAUGCGUCUGAUUAGCUUGUUGGCGGGGUAACGGCCACCAAGGCUACGAUCAGUAGGGGUUCUGAGAGGGAAGGUCCCCCACGAUUCGGAACUGAGACACGGUCCAAACUCCUACGGGAGGCCA